AUUGAACGCUGGCGGCAGGCCUAACACAUGCAAGUCGAACGAGUGGCGGACGGGUGAGUAAUGUCUGGGAAACUGCCUGAUGGAGGGGGAUAACUACUGGAACCGGUAGCUAAUACCGCAUACCAUCAGAUGUGCCCAGAGGGGCUUAGCUUGAUGGUGGGGUAACGGCUCACCAAGGCGACGAUCCCUAGCUGGCCGGAGAGGAUGACCAGCCACACGGGAACGGAGACACGGUCCAGACUCCUACGGGAGGCAGCAGUGGGGAAUAUUGCACAAUGGGCGAAAGCCUGAUGCAGCAAUGCGGCGUGGAGGAAGAAGGCCUUCGGGUUGUAAAGUACUUUCAGCGGGGAGGCGUUACCCGCAGAAGAAGCAACGGCUAACUCCGUGCCAGCAGCCGCGGUAAUUC
rnacentral:rRNA from 1 species